rnacentral:rRNA from 1 species
CACGGAGUUAGCCGGAGCUUAUUCUCCCGGUACUGUCAUUAUCAUCCCGGGUAAAAGAGCUUUACAACCCUAAGGCCUUCAUCACUCACGCGGCAUUGCUGGAUCAGGCUUGCGCCCAUUGUCCAAUAUUCCCCACUGCUGCCUCCCGUAGGAGUCUGGGCCGUGUCUCGGUCCCAGUGUGGCUGAUCAUCCUCUCAGACCAGCUAAAGAUCGUCGCCUUGGUGCGCCUUUACCACACCAACUAGCUAAUCUUACGCGGGCUCAUCCCUCGGCGAUAAAUCUUUGGACUUACGUCGUCAUCCGGUAUUAGCAGCCAUUUCUAGCUGUUAUUCCGAACCAAGGGGCAGAUUCCCACGCGUUACGCACCCGUGCGCCACUAUGCCCGAAAGCAUCGUUCGACUUGCAUGUGUUAGGCAUGCCGCCAGCGUUCGUUCUGAGCCAGGAUCAAACUCUA